GACGUAGGGCGCGAGCGUUGUCCGGAUUUAUUGGGCGUAAAGAGCUCGUAGGCGGCUUGUCGCGUCGUCCGUGAAAACCUGCAGCUCAACUGCAGGCUUGCGGUCGAUACGGGCAGGCUGGAGUUCGGUAGGGGGAUGCGGAAUUCCGGGUGUAGUGGUGGAAGUGCGUAGAGAUCCGGAGGAAGCACCACGCGGGCGAAAGG
rnacentral:rRNA from 1 species